rnacentral:rRNA from 1 species
AGUACGGCCGCAAGGUUAAAACUCAAAUGAAUUGACGGGGGCCCGCACAAGCGGUGGAGCAUGUGGUUUAAUUCGAUGCAACGCGAAGAACCUUACCUGGUCUUGACAUCCACAGAACUUUCCAGAGAUGGAUUGGUGCCUUCGGGAACUGUGAGACAGGUGCUGCAUGGCUGUCGUCAGCUCGUGUUGUGAAAUGUUGGGUUAAGUCCCGCAACGAGCGCAACCCUUAUCUUUUGUUGCCAGCGGUCCGGCCGGGAACUCAAAGGAGACUGCCAGUGAUAAACUGGAGGAAGGUGGGGAUGACGUCAAGUCAUCAUGGCCCUUACGACCAGGGCUACACACGUGCUACAAUGGCGCAUACAAAGAGAAGCGACCUCGCGAGAGCAAGCGGACCUCAUAAAGUGCGUCGUAGUCCGGAUUGGAGUCUGCAACUCGACUCCAUGAAGUCGGAAUCGCUAGUAAUCGUGGAUCAGAAUGCCACGGUGAAUACGUUCCCGGGCCUUGUACACACCGCCCGUCACACCAUGGGAGUGGGUUGCAAAAGAAGUAGGUAGCUUAACCUUCGGGAGGGCGCUUACCACUUUGUGAUUCAUGACUGGGGUGAAGUCGUAACAAGGUAACC